CGAUCAUUCUCAUGGCGAUCCUGGGGGGAAUUUCGCUGCUAGCAAAUUCCAUCUCUGGAGCUGGAGCUCGUCCACUGGAUCAUCAAGGUCUGUGUGAACUUUUCACAAUGUUUUCCCUUGAAGAUCUUCCAUACUUUGUUCUUCCCAGACGAUCACUAUCGUUCUCUCGUCGAGGAAGACGGGGACUACGCACCGACGUCGAACCAGAGAGACUUCCAGAAGAGCCACGGACCUGUGUCUUCCAAACAUCCUGGAAACUAGAGAGUAAGCUCUACACUUUGUCCAUCCAGUACCUGUGAAAAUCUAUGUAGACUAUUUCUUCUGUCCAGUAAGUGUUCUACAGUCCCAAUUCCCUCUCAAAGUCGUCGUCCUCUUCAA
rnacentral:lncRNA from 1 species